GCGGGCGUGGCGGAACUGGCAGACGCACCAGAUUUAGGUUCUGGCGCCGAAAGGCGUGGGGGUUCAAGUCCCUCCGCCCGCACCA
rnacentral:tRNA from 2 species